rnacentral:rRNA from 1 species
AUACGGAAGGUCCGGGCGUUAUCCGGAUUUAUUGGGUUUAAAGGGAGCGCAGGCGGAGAUGCAAGCGUGACGUCAAAUUUCGGGGCUCAACCCCGUCUCGCGUCGCGAACUGCGUCCCUUGGUUGCGGGAAGGGGAGGCGGAACUCGCGGUGUAGCGGGGAAAUGCAUAGAUAUCACGAAGAACUCCGAUCGCGAAGGCAGCCUUCCGGCCCGUCAACGACGCUCAUGCUCGAAGGUGCGGGUAUCAAACAGGAUUAGAUACCCUGGUAGUCCGCACAGUAAACGAUGGACACCCGCGGUUUGGCCUAUAUGGCUGAGCCGCCAAGCGAAAGCGUUAAGUGUCCCACCUGGGGAGUACGCCGGCAACGGUGAAACUCAAAGGAAUUGACGGGG